AAAAAAAGCGCUACAUUUUCAUUCGGCCAACCAUGACCGCCUUCAACAUCGUCUACAACCUCUUAACCUACACGGCAGGUGGGUUCUCCGUGAUAAUGAACGCGUCGCCAGUGAUCGCGAUUCGUCGGCUGGAGCAAUCGGGCACCGUGGGGGCCUCCACUGUCACUUUCUACGGUGCGCAGAUGUACAACGCCGUUACGUGGACCUCUUACGGUAUCUUCUCCGUCUCUUACCCGCUGCUUAUCGCGAACAUCCUCGGCAACGCCGUCUCGACCUACUGUAGCCUCGUAUUCCUCACAGUAGCGCGGCGAGAGGAGAUGUCGGGGCGCACGCUGCAGGCCACAACUUACUCCAAAAGCGUCCUGACGUACGCCUUCUUUUUCGUGCUCAGCGCGGCACACCUGCUGCUGAGCAUCGUUCUCACCAUGUCUGGGCGGCCGGAGACGGCAAAGACGAUUACGGGCUACGAAGGCAGCGUGGCGUGCAUCGUGAUGCUGAGCGCCCCCCUUCUGGCGUUCAAACACAUCGUCGUCACGAAGAACGCCGAGGUUCUCACUCCAGUCAUGGUCGGCUGUGCCUUUUUCAACACGCUCUUCUGGCUCGUCGCGGGCCUCAUGACCAACGACAUGUUCAUCGCCGUCCCAAACUUCCUGUGCUUCCUUGCGUGCUGCGCGCAGGUGGUGCUCUUGGUGAUGUACGGGAGGAGGCCGGCGGCGCCGACGGAGAUUAAUGAGGCCAUCGCACCCACGCCGUUUGGCUAGCGGCCGGCAAGACAAACCCGCGCACGUGGUGUUCCUUUCGUUUUAUGUUCUAGGGCAGGUGUGUGGUGCUCUGGUUUGUUGUCCCUCUGUCUGACCGUCGCCCUGCGCACACCGGACUGUGCGUGUCUUCCGGGCUCUACCGUCCCGCUCCCAAACGUGCGGACGCGCCACUAGCAAAG
rnacentral:misc_RNA from 1 species